GCUCCCGUAGCUCAGCUGGAUAGAGCGCCAUCGACACUGAGUUGGUGGUGGUCGCGGGUUCAACUCCGGUCGGGAGCC
rnacentral:tRNA from 1 species